CAAAAAAGUUGUUCGCACCCACGCUGCCCCGACAUUAUGUCAGCGCAUUUUGGGGAUUGCAUGGGCACCGAUCGGUUUUGCAUUGCCCAUUUGCGAAGAGUAAGGGCGCCCGCCAUUUACGAGGGGAUCUUGUCUCCUUCUGUUAAGUGGAUAUCAGCAGAUGCACCACUGAGUUUGGAGAUGGCACUCUUCAGUCCAGGUCCCUGUCAAUGGUCUCCAGCACAGGAUCAAUAAUGACAGCC